GACGAACGCUGGCGGCGUGCCUAAUACAUGCAAGUUGAGCGCUGAAGGUUGGUACUUGUACCAACUGGAUGAGCAGCGAACGGGUGAGUAACGCGUGGGGAAUCUGCCUUUGAGCGGGGGACAACAUUUGGAAACGAAUGCUAAUACCGCAUAAAAACUUUAAACACAAGUUUUAAGUUUGAAAGAUGCAAUUGCAUCACUCAAAGAUGAUCCCGCGUUGUAUUAGCUAGUUGGUGAGGUAAAGGCUCACCAAGGCGAUGAUACAUAGCCGACCUGAGAGGGUGAUCGGCCACAUUGGGACUGAGACACGGCCCAAACUCCUACGGGAGGCAGCAGUAGGGAAGCUUCGGCAAUGGACGAAAGUCUGACCGAGCAACGCCGCGUGAGUGAAGAAGGUUGUCGGAUCGUAAAACUCUGUUGGUAGAGAAGAACGUUGGUGAGAGUGGAAAGCUCAUCAAGUGACGGUAACUACACAGAAAGGGACGGCUAACUACGUG
rnacentral:rRNA from 1 species